GAAACAAAGUUGGUCACAAAUCACAUUGGCUUUGCCCGAAGUUUUUUUUUCACCUUUCUUUAGCAUGCGACCAUGGGGAAAGUGACCGCUCGUGUCAGUGGGGGAAGUCAGGGUGGUUUAGUGCCCAGGGGACGGCUGUAACUUCUACGUGACCAUGGUACCUGUUGAAAACGCAGAGGGCCCCAGUCUGCUGAAACCGAAGGGGCCAGCAGCCGAGACUGAUGGCAGCGACAGAGCCAGCAGCGGCCGGCAUCCUCCCUGGGCGAGAGGUUGCGGUAUGUUUACUCUCCUGUCAUCUGUCACGGCUGCUGUCAGCGGCUUCCUGGUGGGGUAUGAACUUGGCCUCAUCUCUGGGGCUCUUCUGCAGAUAAGAACCUUGUUAGCCCUGACCUGCCACGAGCAGGAAAUGGUUGUGAGCUCCCUCCUCAUCGGGGCCCUACUGGCCUCUCUCAUCGGAGGGGUCCUGAUUGACAGGUGCGGAAGAAGGGCCGCCAUCAUCCUGUCGUCCUGCCUCCUUGGACUUGGGAGCCUGGUUUUGAUCAUCAGUUUAUCUUAUGCGGCUCUCAUAGCGGGACGCAUUGCUAUUGGGGUUUCCAUUUCACUCUCUUCCAUCGCCACGUGUGUCUACAUUGCAGAAAUUGCUCCGCAACACAAGAGAGGCCUUCUUGUGUCGCUGAACGAGCUGAUGAUUGUCAUCGGCAUCCUUUUUGCUUACAUCUCAAAUUACGCGUUUGCCAAUGUUUCCCACGGCUGGAAAUACAUGUUCGGCCUUGUUAUUCCCUUGGGAGUUUUGCAAGCGAUUGCGAUGUACUUUCUUCCUCCAAGUCCUCGGUUUCUGGUGAUGAAGGGACACGAGGAAGCUGCUAGCAAGGUUCUCGGAAAGCUGAGAGCCAUCUCCGAUACAACGGAGGAACUCACUGCGAUAAAAUCUUCCCUGAAAGAUGAAUAUCAGUACAGUUUUGGGGAUCUGUUUCGUUCAAAGGACAACAUGAGGACCCGAAUCAUGAUAGGCUUAACAUUGGUAUUUUUUGUACAAAUCACUGGCCAGCCAAACAUAUUAUUCUAUGCAUCCACUGUUUUGAAGUCCGUUGGCUUCCAAAGCAACGAGGCAGCUAGCCUCGCCUCCACAGGGGUUGGGGUAGUCAAGGUCAUCAGCACCAUCCCGGCCACCCUUCUUGUAGACCAUGUCGGGAGCAAAACCCUCCUCUGUGUCGGCUCCUCUGUGAUGGCAGCUUCACUGGUAACCAUGGGCAUCGUGAACCUCAACAUCCAUAUGAACUUCACCAAUAUCUGCAGAAACCAUAGUCCUAUCAACCAGUCUUUGGAUGAGUCUGUGUUUUAUGGACCAGCUAACCUGUCAGCCAGCAAUGACACUCUUAGAGAAUCCUUUAAAGGAAUGGCUUCCCACAGCAGAAGCUCACUAAGGCCCAUGAGAAAUGACAUGGAUAAGAGAGGAGAAACGACCUUGGCAUCCUUAUCGAAUGCUGGACUAAGCCAAACUGAAUACCAGAUCAUCACAGACCCUGCGGACGUCCCAGCUUUUUUGAAAUGGCUGUCCUUAGCCAGCUUGCUUGUUUAUGUUGCUGCAUUUUCAAUUGGUCUAGGACCAAGCAGGAGUUCCAGCAAGAAAGCAUCUUGGAGUGACCAGGAAGAGAGGAGAGAGGAAGAAAGUGGUGGGGAUUCAUCUGCUCACUUACUUGUCCAGCACGUGUGGAUUGCUCACCACAACCCACUGGACAUGGUACCCAUUGCUGGUGACUCAGGGAUGGAUGAGUGAGAGCCACGCCUCGCCCCAGUGGAGCCAGUGGUGGGGACAGGCAAUAAGCCAGAAAAUGAAGGCAUGUAUAAUACAACUUCAGGAGGAGAGAAGUGUCACCAUUUAGGUGGAGCACAUUUACUCCGAGCAGGUGUUUUCUCUACAGAGCAUGAUCUUGUCGUGAGAGGUGACUUCAAUCAGGGACACAGGUGACUGCUCCAUGAUUCUGGCAUUGGCAGCCCAGGUGGUUGCUGGCGGGGGCCCGCUCCCUGGCCUCUCGCUCCUUCCCUCACACCGCCUCAUCUCGGGCAAGGCGAUGCAUCUGGUCUGUAUCUAAACACCGGCUUUGCAACACAAUGUGACUUAGCCAGCAGGGAGCAGGGCUGGGACAGCUCCUAAGCCCUUCUUUCCUCAGAAUCAGAGGUGCUUAUACUCCACAUUUAUGUAUUCAUUAACGAAUAUUUAUUGAGCCACCCCCAAGAGAGCACCAAGAUGAAAAAGCAUGAGUUCCAGAGGCUGCCCAGGCUCAACGCCACCUCUGCUGCCACCUCUGAGCUCUGGGACCUUGGCAAAUUAUGAACUCCUUUAAGCCUCAAUUUCCUCUUCUAUAAAAGAGGGAGAGUAAUAUAGUACCUAUCUGGUAGGAAUUCAGCGAGGAUCAAAUGAGAUAAGGUUUGUAAAAGUCUCAGUCCAUUGGAAGAACUGGUAGCUAUUAGGCAAACUGGAUUUGAUAGGCUGUGAGCAGAAGACAAGUUAAUUUGCUCCUCUGCUGCCCUUUCUAAUCCCGUCAGGCAGGUCCUAUAAUGUUCUGUGUCACUCUCAGAUCAUAAAAAGUCCUCUGAUCAGUUUUCGUGCCAAGAAGAGUCUCCUUUCAGAAAGUCAAAUGUUUUGUCUGGCAUAACAUCGAAUCCUGGAGCUCUGUCUAAUUGAGAGCUUCUCUCCACCCAGCUUGCCACGGGCCAGGAAGCCCAAGUGAAGGAGGGGAGGGGAGCAAGCCUCCUUCCUCCGCCCUCCUGGUUCUAUCUCCUACCCACUCAGUAGCUAUGAUGUUGGACUUGGCAAAGGUCGGGGGCAGAGGAGAUUACAGGAAAGGGCCCAGAGGAAAGCAGAUAGAGCCGGGCUCUGGCACUGAGGCUCUGUGCUUGGCAGGAGGCUCACAGCUGCCCCUUGUCAUGGGCAGGUGGCCCUAGCCACUGCCCUUUCUGUUUGCAUUUCUCAGGCCAGUGUCCCCUACCAGCCCUUUAUGUCCCUCCUCCUACUUCCAGGGACCAUUGUCAAGCUCUCUCAGUGUUUCUCCUGAAUCCCUUCUCACUUGGUUGGAGGUGAAGAGAAAGCACACUCUCUCCUCCCUCGUCCUGUAAAAGGACAUGGCCCUGCUCUCCAACCACAGAUCACGUGGGACUAGGGCAGAGGUCAGCGGGCUGGCCCUCAGCUUCAAUGGCUUUUUGUUCAUUUUGCUGUCCCCCACCCACUCUUCCUUGUC